rnacentral:rRNA from 1 species
GGUUAAGCGACUAAGCGUACACGGUGGAUGCCCUGGCAGUCAGAGGCGAUGAAGGACGUGCUAAUCUGCGAUAAGCGUCGGUAAGGUGAUAUGAACCGUUAUAACCGGCGAUUUCCGAAUGGGGAAACCCAGUGUGAUUCGUCACACUAUCAUUAACUGAAUCCAUAGGUUAAUGAGGCGAACCGGGGGAACUGAAACAUCUAAGUACCCCGAGGAAAAGAAAUCAACCGAGAUUCCCCCAGUAGCGGCGAGCGAACGGGGAGCAGCCCAGAGCCUGAAUCAGUGUGUGUGUUAGUGGAAGCGUCUGGAAAGGCGUGCGAUACAGGGUGACAGCCCCGUACACAAAAAUGCACAUGCUGUGAGCUCGAUGAGUAGGGCGGGACACGUGGUAUCCUGUCUGAAUAUGGGGGGACCAUCCUCCAAGGCUAAAUACUCCUGACUGACCGAUAGUGAACCAGUACCGUGAGGGAAAGGCGAAAAGAACCCCGGCGAGGGGAGUGAAAAAGAACCUGAAACCGUGUACGUACAAGCAGUGGGAGCACGCUUAGGCGUGUGACUGCGUACCUUUUGUAUAAUGGGUCAGCGACUUAUAUUCUGUAGCAAGGUUAACCGAAUAGGGGAGCCGAAGGGAAACCGAGUCUUAACUGGGCGUUAAGUUGCAGGGUAUAGACCCGAAACCCGGUGAUCUAGCCAUGGGCAGGUUGAAGGUUGGGUAACACUAACUGGAGGACCGAACCGACUAAUGUUGAAAAAUUAGCGGAUGACUUGUGGCUGGGGGUGAAAGGCCAAUCAAACCGGGAGAUAGCUGGUUCUCCCCGAAAGCUAUUUAGGUAGCGCCUCGUGAAUUCAUCUCCGGGGGUAGAGCACUGUUUCGGCAAGGGGGUCAUCCCGACUUACCAACCCGAUGCAAACUGCGAAUACCGGAGAAUGUUAUCACGGGAGACACACGGCGGGUGCUAACGUCCGUCGUGAAGAGGGAAACAACCCAGACCGCCAGCUAAGGUCCCAAAGUCAUGGUUAAGUGGGAAACGAUGUGGGAAGGCCCAGACAGCCAGGAUGUUGGCUUAGAAGCAGCCAUCAUUUAAAGAAAGCGUAAUAGCUCACUGGUCGAGUCGGCCUGCGCGGAAGAUGUAACGGGGCUAAACCAUGCACCGAAGCUGCGGCAGCGACGCUGAUGCGUUGUUGGGUAGGGGAGCGUUCUGUAAGCCUGCGAAGGUGUGCUGUGAGGCAUGCUGGAGGUAUCAGAAGUGCGAAUGCUGACAUAAGUAACGAUAAAGCGGGUGAAAAGCCCGCUCGCCGGAAGACCAAGGGUUCCUGUCCAACGUUAAUCGGGGCAGGGUGAGUCGACCCCUAAGGCGAGGCCGAAAGGCGUAGUCGAUGGGAAACAGGUUAAUAUUCCUGUACUUGGUGUUACUGCGAAGGGGGGACGGAGAAGGCUAUGUUGGCCGGGCGACGGUUGUCCCGGUUUAAGCGUGUAGGCUGGUUUUCCAGGCAAAUCCGGAAAAUCAAGGCUGAGGCGUGAUGACGAGGCACUACGGUGCUGAAGCAACAAAUGCCCUGCUUCCAGGAAAAGCCUCUAAGCAUCAGGUAACAUCAAAUCGUACCCCAAACCGACACAGGUGGUCAGGUAGAGAAUACCAAGGCGCUUGAGAGAACUCGGGUGAAGGAACUAGGCAAAAUGGUGCCGUAACUUCGGGAGAAGGCACGCUGAUAUGUAGGUGAAGCGACUUGCUCGUGGAGCUGAAAUCAGUCGAAGAUACCAGCUGGCUGCAACUGUUUAUUAAAAACACAGCACUGUGCAAACACGAAAGUGGACGUAUACGGUGUGACGCCUGCCCGGUGCCGGAAGGUUAAUUGAUGGGGUCAGCGCAAGCGAAGCUCUUGAUCGAAGCCCCGGUAAACGGCGGCCGUAACUAUAACGGUCCUAAGGUAGCGAAAUUCCUUGUCGGGUAAGUUCCGACCUGCACGAAUGGCGUAAUGAUGGCCAGGCUGUCUCCACCCGAGACUCAGUGAAAUUGAACUCGCUGUGAAGAUGCAGUGUACCCGCGGCAAGACGGAAAGACCCCGUGAACCUUUACUAUAGCUUGACACUGAACAUUGAGCCUUGAUGUGUAGGAUAGGUGGGAGGCUUUGAAGUGUGGACGCCAGUCUGCAUGGAGCCGACCUUGAAAUACCACCCUUUAAUGUUUGAUGUUCUAACGUGGACCCGUGAUCCGGGUUGCGGACAGUGUCUGGUGGGUAGUUUGACUGGGGCGGUCUCCUCCUAAAGAGUAACGGAGGAGCACGAAGGUUGGCUAAUCCUGGUCGGACAUCAGGAGGUUAGUGCAAUGGCAUAAGCCAGCUUGACUGCGAGCGUGACGGCGCGAGCAGGUGCGAAAGCAGGUCAUAGUGAUCCGGUGGUUCUGAAUGGAAGGGCCAUCGCUCAACGGAUAAAAGGUACUCCGGGGAUAACAGGCUGAUACCGCCCAAGAGUUCAUAUCGACGGCGGUGUUUGGCACCUCGAUGUCGGCUCAUCACAUCCUGGGGCUGAAGUAGGUCCCAAGGGUAUGGCUGUUCGCCAUUUAAAGUGGUACGCGAGCUGGGUUUAGAACGUCGUGAGACAGUUCGGUCCCUAUCUGCCGUGGGCGCUGGAGAACUGAGGGGGGCUGCUCCUAGUACGAGAGGACCGGAGUGGACGCAUCACUGGUGUUCGGGUUGUCAUGCCAAUGGCACUGCCCGGUAGCUAAAUGCGGAAGAGAUAAGUGCUGAAAGCAUCUAAGCACGAAACUUGCCCCGAGAUGAGUUCUCCCUGACUCCUUGAGAGUCCUGAAGGAACGUUGAAGACGACGACGUUGAUAGGCCGGGUGUGUAAGCGCAGCGAUGCGUUGAGCUAACCGGUACUAAUGAACCGUGAGGCUUAACCUU